rnacentral:rRNA from 1 species
UACAGAGGUCUCAAGCGUUGUUCGGAUUCAUUGGGCGUAAAGGGUGCGUAGGCGGCGCGGUAAGUCGGGUGUGAAAUCUUGGAGCUUAACUCCGAAACUGCAUUCGAUACUGCCGUGCUUGAGGACUGGAGAGGAGACUGGAAUUUACGGUGUAGCGGUGAAAUGCGUAGAUAUCGUAAGGAAGACCAGUGGCGAAGGCAGCUCGCUGGGACGUUACCUGACGCUGGAGACGCGAAAGCGUGGGGAGCAAACAGG